CUUCCCCUUAUUCUUCCGGCCUCUCUAUUCUAUCCUCUCUCUUUUCUAUCUCUCGUCUUUUCCUCUCAAAAUGAAGAAAAACCUUAAUCUUUUUUCUUAUAUACCCAUCUCCUUAGCUGUUGGAUCUCACCAUACUCAAUCUGAGCCGUUCAUUCUUCGUUAAAUCUCAGCCAUCUGAUCUCCUCAAACGGUCCGAUCUGGGCCGUCCAUUUCCCUGAUUUCAUUUGCCUCCUUCUAAUUUUCCUUAUUUAUGUUUUUGUCCCUUUUUUCUCAUAUGUUUUCAUUUAAAUCCUAAUUCUAAUUUUUUUUUACUUACAUUUCUUCUCUUUUUUUUUUCUUUAGGUGGAUAUUACAUACCAAAUAAUACAGUGGAUUAUUAUGGGAUGUCAAACUUUUGAGUUUGCCUAUGGAUCCUAAACUUUGUUUAAGUGGAAAUAAUGGAGAACCAUUAGUAGAUGCAUCUUGGUGCAAAAGAUUAAUUGAGAGAUCAUUAUAUGUAGUACUUCAUAAACCAAAGAUUGCAUUCAUAGUUCAGAAGCUCAAUCCAUUUAUUUCAUCUCCACGAGAACCUCAUCUCAACACAAUGCAUAAUUUACAAGUCUAGGGCAAGGACUUUUUUUACUUAUAUAUUCUGCAGUCAAUAUUCAUGCUUUCUCAUAUGCAAGUUGGGCAACAUAUAUCUACUCUGGAAAGUUAAUGACUAGUUUUUUUGUGUUUCUAGUUAGUCGCUAGUGUCUUAGAAGACCAAGAAGCAAACAAUCAUCUUACAUUCCUCUGUACAGGUAACUGCAGUUACAAGUGAGGUAACUCGAUUUCAACAGCUAUUAAGUGAUUUUAGUAUUUCUACUACAACUUCAGCCUGCUGUUUUAUGAUGAUCAGACAACCAUUCAUAUUGUAAAAUCUAACGUUUUAUUAAAUGAUAAAGUACAUGCAGAUGGAUUGUCACUUUGUCCAAGAUCAUUCAAACAAAAGAACUAUCAAGUUGUUGCCUGUUAAGUCUCAACAUCGAUUGACCUAUUUUUUUCACCAAAGUUCUUAUUUCUAAAUUUUUUGGUCGAUUAUCAUUAAAGAUAUUUGUAAUUGACAUGCACAGUCCACCUCGAGGGGGAGUUUUAAAGUUGGUUAAUUAAAUGGUUAACUAACUCAACAUUUUCCAUUAUUCAUUAAAUUGUUUUAGUGCUUUACUUUUUAUCUUGGGUAUGUAUAUGCAAUCUUGUAUACACUUACAAACAUUCUUGAACAGAAAUAGAAAGCAUUCUUUCUUCUUCAGCUUGCCUGUCAUCUUUCUCUCUCUCUCUCUCUCUCUCCCUCAAAUCUCAAGAUCAUGACAAUAAUGAAGAUCCUUCUUUAAAUUGCUUGGUGGAAAAAUAGGACAAAAAAUUUCAAACUUCAACACUUCAUCAAUUGCCUAUGGAACACUAGGAAUCAUUGAAGGUUCUUUAAAAAGCAGGCAAUAAGUAAACUCAUUAUUUUUAUGUUAAAUUAAAUUAAUUAAAUAUCACCUAUUACUAAUUUAUAUUAUUUAUUAACUAUUUUUUAAUUAAAUGUUUAAUACUUUUUCCUUUAUGAAAUACUAAUUUUUAGUCUGACUAAGAUUGUGUUAUAAUUAAUAUAUAUUAUAUAUGUGACGUCAUAUUUGUAAAAACGUACGAAUUUGUAUUUUUAAAAAAUUUACAUGAUCUAAUGGUGCACGAUAUUUAAUUCGGAACUUCACCGAAGAAAUCAACUGUAGCUGAGGCUCUCAUAUCAGUAAAACACAUACAUCACAACUUUCACAGAUUCAUAUGAAUAAUUAGUGCAAAUUACUUCUACAUCACAAAUGUCUUAUCUAUCCUUAGACGUGUGUGUAUAUUUAUUUUGGUAUAUUGAUAUAUACAUAUAUGAAUAUAUAUAUAUAUAUUUAUUCGACUAUCAAUGCCUGUAAAAGAAGCUAUACGAUGAUAGCAGCGGUCAGAAGAGAGAAAUCGACCUUGUCAGUUCUGCUGAAAAAAAUUGCAGAGAGCCUCAAAACUAAAAAGACGAUCACCGAUAUGAUUUAAGAUAGCUCCACAGAAAGUACAGAUUAUAGCUCUCCAAGACUUCCAGUAAAACGGAACGCA
rnacentral:lncRNA from 1 species